rnacentral:lncRNA from 1 species
CUCUUUCAAACAAACUCUUAUCCUUGUCUCCAAUGCUAGUAAUAAUUGCACAGGAAAAGAUUUAGUAAAACCUAUCAUUUUUAGUUGCUGUUUAAUUAUGCAAGUUUACUAUGUUAUUGUUUAGUUGGUUUAAAUGUUAGAAUUUUCUUCUUUAAACUUUAAUGUUCUCGUCACUACAUCUGGAAAACCACGUAAGAACAAAUUAAAAGUAUUUUAAAAGAGACUAGGUUGUUUGAAAAUCCUA